GGUUGCGAUCAUACCAUCGUUAAUGCACCGCAUCCCAUCGGAACUUUGUAGUUAAGCGGGCUUGGGCUAAAGUAGUACUAGGAUGGGUUGUGGGAAGAGGCGGCAUGGGCGGGCA
rfam:Picea glauca, whole genome shotgun sequence.